GGGGAAUAUUGCACAAUGGGCGAAAGCCUGAUGCAGCAACGCCGCGUGAGUGAUGAAGGUCUUCGGAUUGUAAAGCUCUGUCUUUUGGGACGAUAAUGGACGGUACCAAAGGAGGAAGCCACGGCUAACUACGUGCCAGCAGCCGCGGUAAUACGUAGGUGGCGAGCGUUGUCCGGAUUUACUGGGCGUAAAGGGUGCGUAGGCGGAUGUUUAAGUGAGAUGUGAAAUACCCGGGCUUAACUUGGGUGCUG
rnacentral:rRNA from 1 species